rnacentral:lncRNA from 1 species
AAGAACUGGGAAAAGCUGAACAGAAUCAUUAACAGGGAUUUUUUUUAAAAGAAAAAAAAGUGCAUCUGCAAGACGAGGCUUUUAAAAACUGACAAAGAAUCAUGGUUACUUAAGAUAAUAAUAAUGAGAAGGCAUUAAAGAACCAGGGUUACUCUUUAAAUGAGUAAGGUAAGCCAAUACUACAAUCUAGAGAGUCAGAUUUUACAGCUGCAAGAUGAGGAUUAGCACACAAAUUGAACUUUUAGAAUAAUCCAUAUAACUUGAUCAGGUGCAGAAGUAUUCGUAUUUAAUAAGAUUCAUCUUCAUAAUGUCGAUGAACAAAUGUACAAAGUCCAACUAAACCAUGACAGGGAUUACUUUGAUCCAAGUCCAAAUGCCAAUAUCAGUAUGCUACAAAAUUUGUUGGGAAAAUCAUCCAGAUGUAUCAUGCCAAAUGAUUUACGGUUUUAGAAUUGGCAGUUUUUCACAACUUGCAUAAGUACAUGAGUGCAGGCAGUAAGAAUCAAGAUUUCUAGACUUCUAGGAGAUGAGAAGACAUUGAAUUAAAUGUUUCAACCAGUUUAUUUGUGAGAACAAGGCAAUGGCUAACUCUCUAUGUAGUCCAAUGUAUGUUAACUAAGUAACCUAAUUUUAAGACCUUAAAGCUGCAGUACAAAUAUAUGGUAGCUUACCGCUAUAGCGACCCAUUAACUUCACAAGACCAAUACCAUUCUCGAUACUCUCAGCUUCAACAUGUGCUGCAUUAAUAGCACGUUGAGCUUCCUCAACAGCAGUGUCAAAACCAAAGGACUUGUCAAUAACCUGUGAUGUAUAAAAAUAAUACACAAUUGAGAAGGUCUUAUUAUACAUUAUAAAGCAUGUGAGGCAAUAAUAG